rnacentral:rRNA from 1 species
CACAGAGUUAGCCGUCCCUUCCUCUUUCGCUACUAUCAACUUAUCAUCUUUUAAAUAAUAAGGUUUGAUCGCAAAUGACAGGGGUUUACGGGCCGAAGCCAUUCAUCCCCCACGCGGCGUCGCUCCAUCAGGCUUGCGCCCAUUGUGAAAAAUUCUCGACUGCUGCCACCCGUAGGUGUCUGGACCGUGUCUCAGUUCCAGUGUGGCUGGUCGUCCUCUCAGACCAGCUACCCGUCUUAGCCUUGGUGAGCCGUUACCUCACCAACUAGCUGAUAGGCCGCGGGUUCAUCAUGAAGCGUCAGGCCUUACGGUCCCCAACUUUAACCAUCAGAAGAUGCCUCCCAAUGGUCACAUCCGGUAUUAGUCCCGCUUUCGCGGGAUUAUCCCAAACUUCACGGCAGAUUACCCACGUGUUACGCACCCUUGCGCCGCUCCCGCUAACGAUAUUGCUACCCGUUAACGAUCGCUCGACUUGCAUGUCUUAUCCACGCCGCCAGCGUUCUCUCUACG